rnacentral:rRNA from 1 species
CCUACGGGGGGCAGCAGUGGGGAAUAUUGGACAAUGGGGGCAACCCUGAUCCAGCCAUGCCGCGUGUGUGAAGAAGGCCCUCGGGUUGUAAAGCACUUUCAGUGAGGAAGAACGCCUGGUGGUUAAUACCCAUCAGGAAAGACAUCACUCACAGAAGAAGCACCGGCUAACUCCGUGCCAGCAGCCGCGGUAAUACGGAGGGUGCGAGCGUUAAUCGGAAUUACUGGGCGUAAAGCGCGCGUAGGUGGCUUGAUAAGCCGGUUGUGAAAGCCCCGGGCUCAACCUGGGAACGGCAUCCGGAACUGUCAAGCUAGAGUGCAGGAGAGGAAGGUAGAAUUCCCGGUGUAGCGGUGAAAUGCGUAGAGAUCGGGAGGAAUACCAGUGGCGAAGGCGGCCUUCUGGACUGACCCUGACACUGAGGUGCGAAAGCGUGGGUAGCAAACAGGAUUAGAUACCCUAGUAGUC